UGGCCCACUCAGAGGCCCUUUAAGGCCCUCUGGCUCCCAGCCCAGGAUGCAAUGGGUCUCCAGCCAGAGGACUGCUAAGAGCAGGAGGCGGGUCUGCAGAGGGUCCUGGCUUCACCCAGCCACAGCCAGGGAAAUGGACUUGGUCCAAUGGAUAGGCGACUGCCUACCACGUGGGAGGUCCGCGGUUCAAACCCCGGGCCUCCUUGUCCCGGGUGGAGCUGGCCCAUGCGCAGUGCUGAUGCCUGCAAGGAGUGCCGUGCCACGCAGGGGUGUCCCCCGCGUAGGGGAGCCCCACGUGCAAGGAGUGCGCCCCGUAAGGAGAGCAGCCCAGCACGAAAGAAAGUGCAGCCUGCCCAGGAAUGGUGCCGCACACACGGAGAGCUGACACAACAAGAUGAUGCAACAAAAAGAAACACAGAUUCCCAGUGCUGCUGAUAAGGAUAGAAGCGGUCACAGAAGAACACACAGGGAAUGGACACAGAGAGCAGACAACUGGGGAGGGGGGUGGGGAGGGAA
rnacentral:lncRNA from 1 species